UACGUAGGGUGCAGGCGUUAAUCGGAAUUACUGGGCGUAAAGCGUGCGCAGGCGGUUUGCUAAGACAGGUGUGAAAUCCCCGGGCUUAACCUGGGAACUGCGCUUGUAACUGGCAAGCUUGAGUGUGGCAGAGGGGGGUGGAAUUCCACGUGUAGCAGUGAAAUGCGUAGAUAUUAGGAAGAACACCGGUGGCGAAGGCGGCCCACUGGUCCGGUACUGACGCUGAGGUGCGAAAGCGUGGGGAGCAAACAGG
rnacentral:rRNA from 1 species